UGAGGAAUAUUGGUCAAUGGACGAGAGUCUGAACCAGCCAAGUAGCGUGCAGGAUGACGGCCCUAUGGGUUGUAAACUGCUUUUGUUUGGGAAUAAUCGACAUUACGUGUAAUGUUUUGCAUGUACCAUUCGAAUAAGGACCGGCUAAUUCCGUGCCAGCAGCCGCGGUAAUACGGAAGGUCCAGGCGUUAUCCGGAUUUAUUGGGUUUAAAGGGAGUGUAGGCGGUUGGUUAAGCGUGUUGUGAAAUGUAGAUGCUCAACAACUGACUUGCAGCGCGAACUGGCUGACUUGAGUACACAAAACGUAGGCGGAAUUAAUGGUGUAGCGGUGAAAUGCUUAGAUAUAAUGACGAACGCCGAUAGCGAAGGCAGCUUACGGGAGCGAAACUGACGCUAAAGCUCGAAGGAGCGGGUAUCGAACAGG
rnacentral:rRNA from 1 species